UCUUGAAUAUCAAAGGUGAGCCAGUACAGGAUGGACCCGCGUCUGAUUAGCUAGUUGGUAAGGUAACGGCUUACCAAGGCGACGAUCAGUAGCCGACCUGGGAGGGUGAUCGGCCACAUUGGAACUGGGACACGGUCCAAACUCCUACGGGAGGCAGCAGUGGGGAAUAUUGCACAAUGGGCGAAAGCCUGAUGCAGCAACGCCGCGUGAGUGAUGAAGGCCUUCGGG
rnacentral:rRNA from 1 species